GAUGAAGAACGCAGCGAAAUGCGAUAAGUAAUGUGAAUUGCAGAAUUCAGUGAAUCAUCGAAUCUUUGAACGCACAUUGCGCCCCUUGGUAUUCCGAGGGGCAUGCCUGUUCGAGCGUCAUUAUAACCCCUCAAGCUCAGCUUGGUGUUGGGGCCUGCUGCACUGGCAGCCCUUAAAAUCAGUGGCGGCGCCAUCUGGCUCUAAGCGUAGUAAUUCUUCUCGCUAUGGAGUCCUGGUGGAUGCUUGCCAUCAACCCCCAAUUUUUCUAUGGUUGACCUCGGAUCAGGUAGGGAUACCCGCUGAACUUAAGCAUAUCAAAUAAGCGGAGGA
rnacentral:misc_RNA from 1 species